rnacentral:lncRNA from 1 species
ACAAAUGGAUUUCUUGGAAGGCAUAGUGCCUCUCAAAGGAACAAAAAGGCCAUCCUUGGAUGCACUAGGUCCCCAUGGGUGAGAGCGUUCGGUCCAGGGCUUCCCAGAGUGAAUCUGCAAAGCCAACACGCUCAGCGCCCACAGAGAGAGAUCCCAUACUGGUCACCAGUUUGGGCCACUGAGUUCUGGAUCUCCCUCUGAACCCAAGACUUAAUAACACACAAAAAUAAAGCUGAAGGCCCAGGCAGGAAGGCGUGAUGAGCGUUCACAGGGCCGACAGGCUGGGCGUGGAGAUCCUCUCCCACAACGCGCACACUUUCAGAUGCGCAAACUCAUCUCCAGGCAAUUGUUUUCUCCGUGAGUUCCCUCGAAGCAGCCAUUUGCGUCUCUUGAUCCCACACGCCGAUGACCUUGUUAGGUCUUGUUAGAUAGAUGGAAGACUGUACGCUAAUUACAAUUUGCAAGUUGAGGUCCUUCAGGUGAAUUAAAACAAGACACUUGAUCAGCUUGGCCAUCUGCCGAUGGCUGGCCCCCAGCCUGACCACCGGUGCCAUCAGCAAGAGGAUCUGUUCUCUCAGCCCAGCAAGAUCGUAAAAGCCCAGGCCAAGAGACCCCGGGACCCCAGAACACCAGUGCCUGGCACAGUAAGGACUCAGCCUUCAUGGUAACGCUGCAGUCUCAGAGAUGUACAAGAUGCAGAGGCAUGCAGAGGUCCU